AACAAUUUUAGACUACUGGAAAUAUUUUUACCUAUCCUUUCCAAAAGCCGGAUGUGGUCCAAAUUGGUUGUUAAAAUAAAAUUGUGAAUAUCGAACCAGUCAUUCACCAUUUGAAUAAAGUCAGAUGUUAUUUUGUAAUAAUUCUCUGCACCUGUUCUAUUAAAAAGUUGAUUAUCACCAACAAAAAGUAUUGCCUUGGCUGUAUUUGCAGAUAAAACUCUUGCUGUCGCUUUUACAUUUUGUCUUUCACUCCCUUUAACAUCUAGUAAAGUCUUUGAUAGUUUCCAUCCAGGUUUCAAUUGUGCUGUUUGAAUGUCCACUAGUUUAUCCAAGGGCUUUCUAUUUAUAACUUGACCAUCAGCAAGUAUGAGAUCAUUAUCUAAUAAAUGGUUUCUUAUAAGCUUAAGCAAAUGUGGUGUAUCUGCAAAACAAAAUACUUUUUCACCUGGAAUACUUGGAUUCUCAAAAUAUGGUUUGGUUGGAGUUAUAUCUAAUUUUUUAUGAAGGCCUCUAUUUUUUGGUCCCAUGUCUGACACAAAAGCAACUACUAAAAACCCAACAUCAUGGAGUUUUUUUAUUGCAUUGUUUAAAAUAGUAACCGACAUAUCACAAUCAAAAUCGAAGAAGAUUGGUUGCUUCCACUGGCUAAAUAAUCCACGUGCACACAUAACUUGCACAUUAUUGUGAGGUCCUAGUAUUCUCUGUUCUUGAGGCUCAUAUUCAAUUCUAUUAUAUUUUCCUUUCAUUACAGAAAAAACAUCAUCAAUAAAACCAGGACGCAAAGUCAUUACUUGUGUUCUUCGACAGAGGGUUGAUAUUGAUGGCAAUGGAAAAUUUAAUUUUUUGGAGAGAUAUCUGUAUGCCUUUGGAUUUACACUUUGAAGGCUGAUUGCACUAGAAAUAUCCUCAGAAGACCACCGAAUUUUCUGGACCCAUAUGAAUUGCUUUCACUUGACCAUGUGAAAAAAAAUUAGAUAAAACAGAAGCUAUGUACUUAGCUCUUGAAUCAGAUUUAUGUUGUACUUCAAUCAAUUCAUUUUCCAGUUUCUUAUUCUCUUCUUUUGCCUUUUGAUUAUCAUUUCUUAAUUGUUUAUUAAUACAUUAUAUUUUCUUUAAUUUUGUCUUAAGCUCUUUGAUUUGUGUUUCAGGAUUAUUACUGUAAAAAUUAAUGAUUUGAUUUAAACUAUUUGUACACUUUGACACAAUAAUUAAUAAGUUACUAUUUACUUGUGAAUUAUAAAUAUAACUAAUUUAAUUAACAUACUUUUUUGGUCUUCCUAUUUUUGGUAAUCCACAUAAACUUUUUCUUAAACGUUUAGUCCGAGGAGUUAAUUGUAUUUCAUCAAUAUUAUAAGGCUCAGGAAAAUUAUUAUUUAUAUUACUAAUUGAAAAUAGUGAAAAAAAUAAAAAACAAUUAACUAAAUUUUUUUUACUUUUUAUUUAAUAUCAGGUGGGGGCUACAGCCCUCCCAAAAUUUUAGCCCUAGUUG